rnacentral:rRNA from 1 species
AGUGAACGCUGGCGGUAGGCCUAACACAUGCAAGUCGAACGGCAGCACAGUAAGAGCUUGCUCUUACGGGUGGCGAGUGGCGGACGGGUGAGGAAUACAUCGGAAUCUACUUUUUCGUGGGGGAUAACGUAGGGAAACUUACGCUAAUACCGCAUACGACCUACGGGUGAAAGCAGGGGAUCUUCGGACCUUGCGCGAUUGAAUGAGCCGAUGUCGGAUUAGCUAGUUGGCGGGGUAAAGGCCCACCAAGGCGACGAUCCGUAGCUGGUCUGAGAGGAUGAUCAGCCAAACUGGAACUGAGAAAAGGUCCAGAAUCCUAAGGGAGGCAGCAGUGGGGAAUAUUGGACAAUGGGCGGAAGCCUGAUCCAGCCAUACCGCGUGGGUGAAGAAGGCCUUCGGGUUGGAAAGCCCUUUUGUUGGGAAAGAAAAGCAGCAGGUUAAUACCCCGCUGUUCCGACGGUACCCAAAGAAUAAGCACCGGCUAACUUCGUG